GCUCCUGUGGCACAGUGGCUAAAGCGCUCAGCUGCUAACUGAAACGUCGGUGGUUCAAACCCACCAGCUGCU
rnacentral:tRNA from 1 species